rnacentral:tRNA from 1 species
UUCCUGCUGGCUCAGAUGGUAAAGAAUCUGCCUGCAAUGCAUGAGACCCAGGUUCUAUUCCUGGGUCGGGAA